GCCUGAUGCAGCCCGCCGCGUGAGUGAUGAAGGCCUUCGGGUUGUAAAGCUCUUUCGGCCGGGACGAUAAUGACGGUACCCGGAGAAUAAGCCCCGGCUAACUCCGUGCCAGCAGCCGCGGUAAUACGAAGGGGGCUAGCGUUGUUCGGAAUUACUGGGCGUAAAGGGCGCGUAGGCGGUUCUGUAAGUCAGGGGUGAAAUCCCGGGGCUCAACUCCGGGGCUGCCUUUGAAACUGCCGCGCUUGAGUGCGGGAGAGGUGAGUGGAAUUCCCAGUGUAGAGGUGAAAUGCGUAGAUAUUCGGAAGAACACCAGUGGCGAAGGCGGCUCACUGGACCGGUACUGACGCUGAGGCGCGAAAGCGUGGGGAGCAAACAGGAUUAGAACCCCCUGGUAGA
rnacentral:rRNA from 1 species